CAGUCGCCACGGUAAUACGUAGGGUGCGAGCGUUGUCCGGAUUUAUUGGGCGUAAAGGGCUCGUAGGCGGCCUGUCGCGUCGGAAGUGAAAGCCCACUGCUUAACGGUGGGUCUGCUUCCGGUACGGGCAGGCUGGAGUAUGGCAGGGGAGACUGGAAUUCCUGGUGUAGCGGUGGAAUGCGCAGAUAUCAGGAGGAACACCGGUGGCGAAGGCGGGUCUCUGGGCCAUUACUGACGCUGAGGAGCGAAAGCGUGGGGAGCGAACAGGAUUAGAUACCCCUGUAGUCCCUGUCUCUUAUAC
rnacentral:rRNA from 1 species